rnacentral:rRNA from 1 species
GGGNNNNCCAUCGGCCAAUUCCCUUNANUUGAUCUGGCUCAAAUGAACGCUGGCGGCGUGCUUUACACAUGCAAGUCGAGCGAGGCCUGGGGGCAACCCCGGAGUCGAGCGGCGAACGGGUGAGUAACGCGUGGAUGACCUGCCCUUUAGUGGGGAACAACCAGGGGAAACUCUGGCUAAUACCGCAUGAGACCGAAAGGUGAAAGCGGGGUCGUAAGACCUCGCGCUGAAGGAGGGGUCCGCGUCCGAUUAGCUAGUUGGUGGGGUAAUGGCCUACCAAGGCGACGAUCGGUAGCCGGCCUGAGAGGGUGAUCGGCCACACUGGAACUGAGACACGGUCCAGACUCCUACGGGAGGCAGCAGUGGGGAAUUUUGCGCAAUGGGCUAACGCCUGACGCAGCAACGCCGCGUGGAGGAUGAAGGUCUUUGGAUUGUAAACUCCUGUCAGCGGGGAAAAAGGGACUGGACCUAAUACGUCUGGGACUUGAUUGUACCCGCAGAGGAAGCCCCGGCUAACUCUGUGCCAGCAGCCGCGGUAAUACAGAGGGGGCAAGCGUUAUUCGGAAUUAUUGGGCGUAAAGGGCGCGUAGGCGGCGAUCCAAGUGGCGGGUGAAAUCCCUCGGCUUAACCGAGGAACUGCCUGCCAAACUGGAUGGCUCGAGACCGGGAGAGGUGAGUGGAAUUCCCANUGUAGCGGUGAAAUGCGUAAAUAUUGGGAGGAACACANUGGCGAAAGGCGCUCACUGGACCGGAACUGACGCUGAGGCGCGAAAGCGUGGC